GCCAAAGUCUCCGGACUCCGAUCCAACCAAGGACUCCAGCGAGUAGGGGACCAGAGAGAGAAGCCACCCAGCCUCAGCGGGGCGCUCGGCGACUUCAGCUAGCGGGCCGACGCGGGCUGCGACGAGCGGGGCUGGUCAUUGGAGUGUGCGGCUGCGGAGGGAGGGGACCCCGACUCCAGUAAGUUUGGAGAGCGUCGCAGUCAGUCCGGGGCAGCAGCAAGAUGCCGAGCGCGCAGUGGAGACCCGGAGCUCUCCCAACGCAACUUCGUCCUGCCUGAGCGAGCUGCGGUUUCCGAGGCCCUCUCCGACCAAGGAAAAGCGACACAAAAAGCCUGGAUCAGAGGGAACCACCCCCGCAGCAAGUGAAGGCUCGCUCGGCCUCGGCCUCGCCCUCGCCCUCUAGCGUUCGUCUGGAGAAGCGCCACCCAAGGAUUCC
ensembl:lncRNA